GCCGGGAUGGUGGAAUAGGUAGACACGCAAGACUUAAAAUCUUGUGGGAGCAAUCCCGUGCGGGUUCGAUUCCCGCUCCUGGUA
rnacentral:tRNA from 2 species